rnacentral:rRNA from 1 species
CAGUCGCCGCGGUAAAACGGAGGGUGCAAGCGUUAUCCGGAUUCACUGGGUUUAAAGGGUGCGUAGGCGGGCAGGUAAGUCAGUGGUGAAAUCUUCGAGCUUAACUCGGAAACUGCCGUUGAUACUAUCUGUCUUGAGUAACGUUGAGGUGAGCGGAAUAUGUCAUGUAGCGGUGAAAUGCUUAGAUAUGACAUAGAACACCGAUUGCGAAGGCAGCUCACUAAACGCUCAUUGACGCUGAGGCACGAAAGCGUGGGGAUCAAACAGGAUUAGAUACCCCUGUAGUCCCUGUCUCUUAUAC